rnacentral:misc_RNA from 1 species
GAUGAAGAACGUAGCGAAAUGCGAUACUUGGUGUGAAUUGCAGAAUCCCGUGAACCAUCGAGUCUUUGAACGCAAGUUGCGCCCGAAGCCAUCAGGUUGAGGGCACGUCUGCCUGGGCGUCACAUAUCGUUGCUCGAUGCCUAUCGCAUUGCGAUAGGACUUAGGGCGAAUGAUGGCUUCCCGUGAGCGUUGUUGCCUCGCGGUUGGUUGAAAAUCGAGUCCUUGGUAGGGAGCGCCGCGAUAGAUGGUGGUUGAGUGACGAACGAGACCCAAUCAUGUGAGACCCCUACCGAAUUUGGCCUUCAUGACCCACAUGCGUCUUUGGAACGCUCAUGACGAGACCUCAGGUCAGGCGGGGCUACCCGCUGAGUUUAAGCAUAUCAAUAAGCGGAGGA